rnacentral:tRNA from 1 species
GCCUGGGUGGCUUAGUUGGUUAAGUGUCUGACUUCAACUCAAAUCAUGAUUUCACGGUUUGUGAGUUCGAGCCUCGCAUUGGGCU